CGCCCGGCACGCCAUGGGAGCGGGUUCUACCCGAAGUCGCCGGGAGCCUUAGGGCAGGCGCCGAGGGUAGGGCUCGUGACUGGGGCGAAGUCGUAACAAGGUAGCUGUACCGGAAGGUGCGGCUGGAUCACCUCCUUUCUAAGGAGCA
rnacentral:rRNA from 1 species